rnacentral:rRNA from 1 species
GAUGAACGCUGGCGGCGUGCUUAACACAUGCAAGUCGAACGAAGCACCUUGAUUCGAUUCUUCGGAUGAAGAUCUUGGUGACUGAGUGGCGGACGGGUGAGUAACGCGUGGGUAACCUGCCUCAUACAGGGGGAUAACAGUUAGAAAUGACUGCUAAUACCGCAUAAGACCACAGCACCGCAUGGUGCAGGGGUAAAAACUCCGGUGGUAUGAGAUGGACCCGCGUCUGAUUAGGUAGUUGGUGGGGUAACGGCCUACCAAGCCGACGAUCAGUAGCCGACCUGAGAGGGUGACCGGCCACAUUGGGACUGAGACACGGCCCAAACUCCUACGGGAGGCAGCAGUGGGGAAUAUUGCACAAUGGGGGAAACCCUGAUGCAGCGACGCCGCGUGAGCGAUGAAGUAUUUCGGUAUGUAAAGCUCUAUCAGCAGGGAAGAAAAUGACGGUACCUGACUAAGAGGCACCGGCUAAAUACGUG